UCUCUCUCUUUCGAAUUUUCUUCUUCUCUCUCUCAGAUCUUCUCUCUCUCGGGAUUCUCUCACCAUUUUUCUUCGUUGGCUUCGUGCGAAAAUUCCGACGAAGGCUACGAGUGGUGUCGCGCACAAGGGUUGGUGCGAAGAGUUCUGUCGGUGUUUGAGGGUCGCGCGGGCGUGGUCUCGAGUGGUGCGAACUCGCGCUGCGAGCGACGAGGGUGUGCCGAGGUUGCGAGCGACGAGGGUGUGCCGAGGUUGUGGUUCGAGGUUUUGGUACGAAAGGCGUGCGGGUGUGUCGAAGGUGUUGUGCGAAGGGUCGAAGGUGUUGUGCGAAGGGUCGAAGGAGUUUGGUGCGAAGAGUUGUGCGGUGAUUCGAGGGAGUCGUGCGUGUGUUGUUGUGCGUAGAUCGAGAGCGAGCGAAGGGUGCGUCGCUGCUGUGCGCGCCAGCGAACCGAAGAAGGCUCGAGUGGGGCUGUGUGGCGAGCGAAGGCCACCGGAGUUCCGUCGCCGGAAUUUUGUGCCGGCGAAAGUCAGUGGUCCCAAUUUCAUAAGCGGCUCGUUCUAUUAAGUCAGCGAAAAUUCUCCGUUACAAGAUGGUUCACGACAUAGGCUGUAGGGACUUUUUGAUGAAACAAGUAGGGGAAGACUGGGAUAUGUGGUUCUUUAAAAUGAAGUCUGCUAUGGAUUACAGAAUUAUGCAAGGGGAACAAUGGUUACGAUCUGAGGGCUCUAGGAUACACUUCAUGCUUCGUUAUGUUCCAGAUAUAGAGCCAUAUAGAUUUGUUCAUCGUAGGUAUGGGGAUAUGUGGACUCCAGAAGGGUAUUUCAAUAGGAAUAAGCAUACCUACGGAUAUCAGAACCUGCCUUCCGAAAAGCACUUCCUCACUGACCUUAAAUACUGCGAGAAUGAGUGGAGGGUUCGUGAGACCAGGGGUCAAAACCCUUCUACUUCAUCUGAAAGGGAAAGUUCGAGCAAUAGGGCCAUAGAUGGGAAUUCUGAGAACCCAGGGGUCAUACCUGAACCGCCAUCAGCACCUGUG